UUUUGUAUUGUUUAUAUUGCUCUCUUUUGGAUGACGAGUUUGCCGACCACUGGUUAGUAUAUUGUGUGUAUGUGUAUUGAGGGGUCACGGGUCAGAGUAAUUUAAGCGAUCUAUUGUGUCAUAGCAACUAAACAUCGAAGUGUGGGUCUAUCUAGUUCCGGAUGUAACAAAUGCACAUGUCUCGGAUAAACUGGCCAAUCCCAAUCUAUUAGACCUAAUCUCGGUCAAGUUUUGACACAGAAGCCUAUUGGUCACGUGCGGUCGAAGUGAAUAGAGCUCAGUGUGUUGCCAGCAUUCAAAUGAAAUGGGACUCUCCUAUGAGGCUAAUCCUAUCUAUUGCCUACCUCGUUAUGUCCCUUGUGUCUAAUCUUCGGUUCCAGAUCAAAACACAGAUCUCUUCUUUGUAAUAUAAAAAGGGAACAUCAUACAGAUUGCCAGAAAUUAUUACCUCUGAGAAGCAGACAGUAAAUAAAAAGGCUAAAAAAAAUUGGUGUAUCAAGGACGCUGGCAUUCUUUAAGGCAAGAAGUCAUUGACAAAGAUCAAUGUCUAGUUAACAGAUGAUUAGAACCAUCACUUGUGAGGAACUGGUCAGAAGUUAAAACAUGUGUAAAGUGUUAUGCUACAAAGUGUUAUUUAAGGCAA